GCAAAUUUAUACCGUGAAACUGCGAAUGGCUCAUUAAAUCAGUUAUCGUUUAUUUGAUAGUACCUUACUACUUGGAUAACCGUGGUAAUUCUAGAGCUAAUACAUGCUAAAAGCCCCGACUUCGGAAGGGGUGUAUUUAUUAGAUUAAAAACCAAUGCCCUUCGGGGCUCUUUGGUGAUUCAUAAUAACUUAACGAAUCGCAUGGCCUUGUGCCGGCGAUGGUUCAUUCAAAUUUCUGCCCUAUCAACUUUCGAUGGUAGUAUAUGGGACUACCAUGGUUUCAACGGGUAACGGGGAAUUAGGGUUCUAUUCCGGAGAGGGAGCCUGAGAAACGGCUACCACAUCCAAGGAAGGCAGCAGGCGCGCAAAUUACCCAAUCCCGACACGGGGAGGUAGUGACAAUAAAUACUGAUGCAGGGCUCUUUUGGGUCUUGUAAUUGGAAUGAGUACAAUUUAAAUCCCUUAACGAGGAACAAUUGGAGGGCAAGUCUGGUGCCAGCAGCCGCGGUAAUACCAGCUCCAAUAGCGUAUAUUAAAGUUGUUGCAGUUAAAAAGCUCGUAGUUGAACCUUGGGCCUGGCUGGCCGGUCCGCCUCACCGCGUGCACUGGUCCGGCCGGGUCUUUCCUCCUGGGGAGCCGCAUGCCCUUCACUGGGUGUGUCGGGGAACCAGGACUUUUACUUUGAAAAAAUUAGAGUGUUCAAAGCAGGCCUAUGCUCGAAUACAUUAGCAUGGAAUAAUAGAAUAGGACGUGUGGUUCUAUUUUGUUGGUUUCUCGGACCGCCGUAAUGAUUAAUAGGGAUGGUCGGGGGCAUCAGUAUUCAAUUGUCAGAGGUGAAAUUCUUGGAUUUAUUGAAGACUAACUACUGCGAAAGCAUUUGCCAAGGAUGUUUUCAUUAAUCAGGGAACGAAAGUUAGGGGAUCGAAGACGAUCAG
rnacentral:rRNA from 1 species